rnacentral:rRNA from 1 species
UUUUAAAUUGCUGUGGUAUUUUGACUAUACAAAGGUAUUGUAAUAAGACUUUAAUUGAGUGCUAAAAGAAUGGAAUUACAAAAAAAGGCUUUUUUAAUUUUAAAAAUUAAAAUUAUUUUUUUUUGUGAAGAAACAAAAAUUUAAAUUAAAGACAAGAAGACCCUAAGAAUUUUUUUUUUUAUUAAAAUAAUAUUUUAUUUUAAAAAUUUAAUUGGGGCGAUUAAUUAAUAUUAAAAACUUUAUUAACAAAAAAAAUGAUCCAUUAUUAAUGAUUAUUUGAUUAAAAUACUCUAGGGAUAACAGCGUAAUAAUUUUUGAUAGUUCUUAUAGAAAAAAUAGUUUGCGACCUCGAUGUUGGAUUAGGAUUCUUUUUUAAUGAAGAAGUUAAAAAAAGAAGUUUGUUCAACUUUUAAAUUCCUACUUGAUCUG